GACGAACGCUGGCGGCGUGCUUAACACAUGCAAGUCGAACGGAAAGGCCCUGCUUUUGUGGGGUGCUCGAGUGGCGAACGGGUGAGUAACACGUGCGUAACCUGCCCUUGACUUUGGGAUAACUUCAGGAAACUGGGGCUAAUACCGGAUAGGAGCUCCUGCUGCAUGGUGGGGGUUGGAAAGUUUCGGCGGUUGGGGAUGGACUCGCGGCUUAUCAGCUUGUUGGUGGGGUAGUGGCUUACCAAGGCUUUGACGGGUAGCCGGCCUGAGAGGGUGACCGGCCACAUUGGGACUGCGAGACGGACCAGUCUCCUACGGGAGGCAGCAGUGGGGAAUAUUGCACAAUGGGCGGAAGCCUGAUGCAGCAACGCCGCGUGCGGGAUGACGGCCUUCGGGUUGUAAACCGCUUUCGCCUGUGACGAAGCGUGAGUGACGGUAAUGGGUAAAGAAGCACCGGCUAACUACGUG
rnacentral:rRNA from 1 species